AAGUCGUAACAAGGUUUCCGUAGGUGAACCUGCGGAAGGAUCAUUAACAAUGAUAUCCAUCAUACACCGUGAACUAUAAAACAAACUUAAAAUUUUUGGGCUUCCCAAAAAAUUUUAAUUUUAACAUUAACAAAUUAACUUUAUACUUAUAAUUGUUUAAAUAUUAAACAACUUUUAGCAACGGAUCUCUUGGUUCUC
rnacentral:misc_RNA from 1 species